rnacentral:rRNA from 1 species
GACUCGUCACACUAUCAUUAACUGAAUCCAUAGGUUAAUGAGGCGAACCGGGGGAACUGAAACAUCUAAGUACCCCGAGGAAAAGAAAUCAACCGAGAUUCCCCCAGUAGCGGCGAGCGAACGGGGAGGAGCCCAGAGCCUGAAUCAGCAUGUGUGUUAGUGGAAGCGUCUGGAAAGGCGCGCGAUACAGGGUGACAGCCCCGUACACAAAAGCGCAUGUGCUGUGAGCUCGAUGAGUAGGGCGGGACACGUGGUAUCCUGUCUGAAUAUGGGGGGACCAUCCUCCAAGGCUAAAUACUCCUGACUGACCGAUAGUGAACCAGUACCGUGAGGGAAAGGCGAAAAGAACCCCGGCGAGGGGAGUGAAAAAGAACCUGAAACCGUGUACGUACAAGCAGUGGGAGCCCCACCACUAAGCCAGUGGUGAACUCCACAUACGCAUCCUUUGCUGAGGAUACGGUUAACGGAGCGAAAGCGACGUUCAACCGCAAAAGAAGCAGAGGGGGCUUAGUGGUGGGGUGACUGCGUACCUUUUGUAUAAUGGGUCAGCGACUUAUAUUCUGUAGCAAGGUUAACCGAAUAGGGGAGCCGGAGGGAAACCGAGUCUUAAUUGGGCGUUAAGUUGCAGGGUAUAGACCCGAAACCCGGUGAUCUAGCCAUGGGCAGGUUGAAGGUUGGGUAACACUAACUGGAGGACCGAACCGACUAAUGUUGAAAAAUUAGCGGAUGACCUGUGGCUGGGGGUGAAAGGCCAAUCAAACCGGGAGAUAGCUGGUUCUCCCCGAAAGCUAUUUAGGUAGCGCCUCGUGAAUUCAUCUCCGGGGGUAGAGCACUGUUUCGGCUAGGGGGCCAUCCCGGCUUACCAACCCGAUGCAAACUGCGAAUACCGGAGAAUGUUAUCACGGGAGACACACGGCGGGUGCUAACGUCCGUCGUGAAGAGGGAAACAACCCAGACCGCCAGCUAAGGUCCCAAAGUCAUGGUUAAGUGGGAAACGAUGUGGGAAGGCCCAGACAGCCAGGAUGUUGGCUUAGAAGCAGCCAUCAUUUAAAGAAAGCGUAAUAGCUCACUGGUCGAGUCGGCCUGCGCGGAAGAUGUAACGGGGCUAAACCAUGCACCGAAGCUGCGGCAGCGACGCUGAUGCGUUGUUGGGUAGGGGAGCGUUCUGUAAGCCUGCGAAGGUGACCUGUGAGGG